AAGUUUGAGUACAUUGCUAAUGCAUCGGAUCCAACAGAACUCCGAAGUUAAGCUUGCGCUUGGGGAGAAUAGUACUAGGAUGGGUUACUCCUCGGAUGUACGCAUAUUACACCUC
rfam:Lupinus angustifolius cultivar Tanjil chromosome LG05, whole genome shotgun sequence.